UAACGGAGUGGCAGACGGGUGAGUAACACGUGGGAACGUACCCUUCGGUUCGGAAUAACUCAGGGAAACUUGAGCUAAUACCGGAUACGUCCGAGAGGAGAAAGAUUUAUCGCCGAAGGAUCGGCCCGCGUCUGAUUAGCUUGUUGGUGAGGUAACGGCUCACCAAGGCGACGAUCAGUAGCUGGUCUGAGAGGAUGAUCAGCCACAUUGGGACUGAGACACGGCCCAA
rnacentral:rRNA from 1 species